rnacentral:rRNA from 1 species
UACGGGGGGAGCAAGCGUUGUUCGGAUUUACUGGGCGUAAAGGGCGCGUAGGCGGCGCAACAAGUCACUUGUGAAAUCUCCGGGCUUAACCCGGAGCGGCCAAGUGAUACUGUCGUGCUAGAGUGCGGAAGGGGCUACUGGAAUUCCUGGUGUAGCGGUGAAAUGCGCAGAUAUCAGGAGGAACACCGGUGGCGAAGGCGGGUCUCUGGGCCGAUACUGACGCUGAGGAGCGAAAGCGUGGGGAGCGAACAGG